UGGGGAAUAUUGCACAAUGGGCGCAAGCCUGAUGCAGCCAUGCCGCGUGUGUGAAGAAGGCCUUCGGGUUGUAAAGCACUUUCAGCGAGGAGGAAGGGUAGUGUGUUAAUAGCACAUUGCAUUGACGUUACUCGCAGAAGAAGCACCGGCUAACUCCGUGCCAGCAGCCGCGGUAAUACGGAGGGUGCAAGCGUUAAUCGGAAUUACUGGGCGUAAAGCGCACGCAGGCGGUUUGUUAAGUCAGAUGUGAAAUCCCCGCGCUUAACGUGGGAACUGCAUUUGAAACUGGCAAGCUAGAGUCUUGUAGAGGGGGUAGAAUUCCAGGUGUAGCGGUGAAAUGCGUAGAGAUCUGGAGGAAUACCGGUGGCGAAGGCGGCCCCCUGGACAAAGACUGACGCU
rnacentral:rRNA from 1 species